rnacentral:rRNA from 1 species
AGUAGCUACACGACUCUAAAUAAUAGUAGCCUUAUGCAAGUCAACGUGCUGUUGGCGACACUUUCGAAUUGCGGGAAACCCCUAAGAGCCUUUUACACCAAGCUAUCCUGGGAAACCAGGGAGUGGCCUGUGGGAAACUACAGGGUAGGGUAACAGUUAAAAGGAUGAACUACCAUGUUCUAUGGUAGGGAAAUGGGCAAUCCGCAGCGAAGCCCCUAUUGUUGCAAAACAAGUUGUUCAUGGUAAUCAGAAAGUAGGUUCGGUGUAUAAUUGCUCCUAUGAUUGAUAACCAAACAUGGGGAACGUUCACAGACUAAGUGGAAGUGGGUGGGCUUAUUUUUGGGCCUGCUUAAGAUAUAGUCGGGCCCCUUUGGAAACUCUGGGGAUAGGUCUUUGUUAUUCAAGGCAGGAGCUAUGAAAUAACAAAGAUUCUAAAAUAAGCUGUUCCGUAGGUGAACCUGCGGAAGGAUCAUUACACUUUAAUUGGGGGGGCUCAGCCAUGUAGACAGGCCUUUGGCCAGUCUUUUGGCAGUGCUCUUACUGAUUUCACCCAUGUUUUUGCGCACGAUUUGUUUCCUUGGUAGGCUUGCCUGCCGAUAGGAUAAACCUAAACCUCUUGUAAUUGAAGUCAGCGUCAGUAACAAAAUAAUUAUUACAACUUUCAACAACGGAUCUCUUGGUUCUGGCAUCGAUGAAGAACGCAGCGAAAUGCGAUAAGUAGUGUGAAUUGCAGAAUUCAGUGAAUCAUCGAAUCUUUGAACGCACAUUGCGCCCCUUGGUAUUCCAUGGGGCAUGCCUGUUCGAGCGUCAUUUGUACCCUCAAGCAUUGCUUGGUGUUGGGCGUGUGUCCGCUGCUUUGCAGCUUGGACUGGCCUUAAAACAAUUGGCAGCCGGCUUGUUGGCCUGGAGCGCAGCACAAUUUGCGCCUCUUGUCAAACAAGUUGGCACCCAGUAAGAACUUUUUUUUAGCUCUUGACCUCGGAUCAGGUAGGGAUACCCGCUGAACUUAAGCAUAUCAAUAAGCGGAGGAAAAGAAACCAACAGGGAUUGCCCUAGUAACGGCGAGUGAAGCGGCAACAGCUCAAAUUUGAAAUCUGGCUCUUUUAGGGUCCGAGUUGUAAUUUGCAGAGGGCGCUUUGGCGUUGGCAGCGGUCCAAGUUCCUUGGAACAGGACGUCACAGAGGGUGAGAAUCCCGUACGUGGUCGCUGGUCUCCGCCGUGUAAAGCCCCUUCGACGAGUCGAGUUGUUUGGGAAUGCAGCUCUAAAUGGGAGGUAAAUUUCUUCUAAAGCUAAAUACUGGCCAGAGACCGAUAGCGCACAAGUAGAGUGAUCGAAAGAUGAAAAGCACUUUGGAAAGAGAGUCAAAUAGCACGUGAAAUUGUUGAAAGGGAAGCGCUUGCAGCCAGACUUGCCUGUAGUUGCUCAUCUGGGCUUUUGCCCAGUGCAUUCUUCUAUAGGCAGGCCAGCAUCAGUCUGGGCGGUUGGAUAAAGGUCUCUAUCA